rnacentral:lncRNA from 1 species
UAAACCCUAAUUUGCUAACAAUAAUUAAAAAUAAAAAAAGGAAAAUUAAAUUAAAUAUGGAGACAAAUGGGCCGUACGACCGCCCCACUUUUUCACAUUCCUGAGACAUCAUUUUUUCCCAAAAUAAAUUAGUAAGCAAUUUUGACUUUUCAAUAUCUUAUUAGCCAACAAAAUUGCAACACGUGACUAGAAAAAAAUGAAAAAAGUUUAAAAUAAUAAUAAUAAUCCUAAUAAUGUAACUAAAAGAAAGAAACCAAAAGAAACACAUUUUC